rnacentral:rRNA from 1 species
GCGCUUAGAAGUGAGAAUGCCGGUAUGAGUAGCGAAAGACAGGUGAGAAUCCUGUCCACCGAAUGACUAAGGUUUCCUGGGGAAGGCUCGUCCGCCCAGGGUUAGUCGGGACCUAAGCCGAGGCCGACAGGCGUAGGCGAUGGAUAACAGGUUGAUAUUCCUGUACCCGUUGUUUUUGUUUGAGCAAUGGAGGGACGCAGGAGGCUAAGGAAUGCAGACGAUCGGAAAUGUCUGUCCAAGCAGUAAGUCUGAAGAGGAGUCAAAUGCUUCUUUUCUUAAGGACAAGCUGUGAUGGGGAGGGAAAUAAUAGUACCGAAGUUCCUGAUGUCACACUGCCGAGAAAAGCUUCUAGUGAGAAAACAGCGGCCCGUACCGCAAACCGACACAGGUAGUCGAGGAGAGAAUCCUAAGGUGAGCGAGAGAACUCUCGUUAAGGAACUCGGCAAAAUGACCCCGUAACUUCGGGAGAAGGGGUGCUGAUCAUACGAUCAGCCGCAGUGAAUAGGCCCAAGCGACUGUUUAUCAAAAACACAGGUCUCUGCAAAAUCGUAAGAUGAAGUAUAGGGGCUGACGCCUGCCCGGUGCUGGAAGGUUAAGAGGAGUGCUUAGCGCAAGCGAAGGUACGAAUUGAAGCCCCAGUAAACGGCGGCCGUAACUAUAACGGUCCUAAGGUAGCGAAAUUCCUUGUCGGGUAAGUUCCGACCCGCACGAAAGGCGUAACGAUUUGGGCACUGUCUCAACGAGAGACUCGGUGAAAUUUUAGUACCUGUGAAGAUGCAGGUUACCCGCGACAGGACGGAAAGACCCCAUGGAGCUUUACUGUAGUUUGAUAUUGAGUGUCUGUACCGCAUGUACAGGAUAGGUAGGAGCCGUAGAAAUCGGAACGCUAGUUUCGAUGGAGGCGCUGGUGGGAUACUACCCCUGCGUUAUGGCCACUCUAACCCGCACCACUAAUCGUGGUGGGAGACAGUGUCAGAUGGGCAGUUUGACUGGGGCGGUCGCCUCCUAAAAGGUAACGGAGGCGCCCAAAGGUUCCCUCAGAAUGGUUGGAAAUCAUUCGAAGAGUGUAAAGGCAGAAGGGAGCUUGACUGCGAGACCAACAAGUCGAGCAGGGACGAAAGUCGGGCUUAGUGAUCCGGUGGUUCCGCAUGGAAGGGCCAUCGCUCAACGGAUAAAAGCUACCCUGGGGAUAACAGGCUUAUCUCCCCCAAGAGUCCACAUCGACGGGGAGGUUUGGCACCUCGAUGUCGGCUCGUCGCAUCCUGGGGCUGUAGUCGGUCCCAAGGGGUGGGCUGUUCGCCCAUUAAAGCGGCACGCGAGCUGGGGUCAGAACGUCGUGGGACAGUUCGGUCCCUAUCCGUCGCGGGCGGUGGAAAUUUGAGAGGAGAUGUCCUUAGUACGAGAGGACCGGGAUGGACUUACCGCUGGUGUACCAGUUGUUCUGCCAAGGGCAUUGCUGGGUAGCUAUGUAGGGAAGGGAUAAACGCUGAAAGCAUCUAAGUGUGAAGCCCACCUCAAGAUGAGAUUUCCCAUUUCUUUAAGAAAGUAAGAUCCCUGAGAGAUGAUCAGGUAGAUAGGUCAGGAGUGGAAGUACAGUGAUGUAUGGAGCGGACUGAUACUAAUCGAUCGAGGACUUAACCAA